AAUGGGCGCAAGCCUGAUCCAGCCAUGCCGCGUGAGUGAUGAAGGCCCUAGGGUCGUAAAGCUCUUUCGCCAGGGAUGAUAAUGACAGUACCUGGUAAAGAAACCCCGGCUAACUCCGUGCCAGCAGCCGCGGUAAUACGGAGGGGGUUAGCGUUGUUCGGAAUUACUGGGCGUAAAGCGCACGUAGGCGGAUCGGAAAGUUGGGGGUGAAAUCCCGGGGCUCAACCCCGGAACUGCCUCCAAAACUAUCGGUCUAGAGUUCGAGAGAGGUGAGUGGAAUUCCGAGUGUAGAGGUGAAAUUCGUAGAUAUUCGGAGGAACACCAGUGGCGAAGGCGGCUCACUGGCUCGAUACUGACGCUGAGGUGCGAAAGUGUGGGGAGCAAACAGGAUU
rnacentral:rRNA from 1 species